rnacentral:rRNA from 1 species
GAUGAACGCUGGCGGCGUGCCUAAUACAUGCAAGUCGAGCGAACAGACGAUGAGCUUGCUCCUCUGACGUUAGCGGCGGACGGGUGAGUAACACGUGGAUAACCUACCUAUAAGACUGGGAUAACUUCGGGAAACCGGAGCUAAUACCGGAUAAUAUAUUGAACCGCAUGGUUCAAUAGUGAAAGACGGUUUUGCUGUCUCUUAUAGAUGGAUCCGCGCCGCAUUAGCUAGUUGGUAAGGUAACGGCUUACCAAGGCAACGAUGCGUAGCCGACCUGAGAGGGUGAUCGGCCACACUGGAACUGAGACACGGUCCAGACUCCUACGGGAGGCAGCAGUAGGGAAUCUUCCGCAAUGGGCGAAAGCCUGACGGAGCAACGCCGCGUGAGUGAUGAAGGUCUUCGGAUCGUAAAACUCUGUUAUUAGGGAAGAACAAAUGUGUAAGUAACUAUGCACGUCUUGACGGUACCUAAUCAGAAAGCCACGGCUAACUACGUG